rnacentral:rRNA from 1 species
CCAAUAGCGUAUAUUAAAGUUGUUGCAGUUAAAAAGCUCGUAGUUGAAUUUCGGGGUUAGUAGGUUGGUCAUGCCUCUGGUAUGUACUGGUCUCACUGAUUCCUCCUUCCUGAUGAGCCGUAAUGCCAUUAAUUUGGUGUUGCGGGGAAUUUGGACUGUUACUUUGAAAAAAUGAGAGUGUUUAAAGCAAGCUAACGCUUGAAUACAUUAGCAUGGAAUAAUGAAAUAGGACGUUCGAUCCUAUUUUGUUGGUUUCUAGGAUUGACGUAAUGAUUAAUAGGGAUAGUUGGGGGCAUUAGUAUUCAAUUGUCAGAGGUGAAAUUCUUGGAUUUAUUGAAGACUAACUACUGCGAAAGCAUUUGCCAAGGAUGUUUUCAUUAAUCAAGAACGAAAGUUAGGGGAUCGAAGACGAUCAGAUACCGUCGUAGUCUUAACCAUAAACUAUGCCGACUAGGGAUCGGAUGAUGAUAAUUUUUUAAUGACUCAUUCGGCGCCUUACG